GAACUCUGAGACAGGUGCUGCAUGGCUGUCGUCAGCUCGUGUUGUGAAAUGUUGGGUUAAGUCCCGCAACGAGCGCAACCCUUAUCCUUUGUUGCCAGCGGUCCGGCCGGGAACUCAAAGGAGACUGCCAGUGAUAAACUGGAGGAAGGUGGGGAUGACGUCAAGUCAUCAUGGCCCUUACGAGUAGGGCUACACACGUGCUACAAUGGCGCAUACAAAGAGAAGCGACCUCGCGAGAGCAAGCGGACCUCAUAAAGUGCGUCGUAGUCCGGAUUGGAGUCUGCAACUCGACUCCAUGAAGUCGGAAUCGCUAGUAAUCGUAGAUCAGAAUGCUACGGUGAAUACGUUCCCGGGCCUUGUACACACCGCCCGUCACACCAUGGGAGUGGGUUGCAAAAGAAGUAGGUAGCUUAACCCUUCGGGAGGGCGCUUACCACUUUGUGAUUCAUG
rnacentral:rRNA from 1 species